rnacentral:rRNA from 1 species
UGUGAGCUCGAUGAGUAGGGCGGGACACGUGGUAUCCUGUCUGAAUAUGGGGGGACCAUCCUCCAAGGCUAAAUACUCCUGACUGACCGAUAGUGAACCAGUACCGUGAGGGAAAGGCGAAAAGAACCCCGGCGAGGGGAGUGAAAAAGAACCUGAAACCGUGUACGUACAAGCAGUGGGAGCACGCUUAGGCGUGUGACUGCGUACCUUUUGUAUAAUGGGUCAGCGACUUAUAUUCUGUAGCAAGGUUAACCGAAUAGGGGAGCCGAAGGGAAACCGAGUCUUAACUGGGCGUUAAGUUGCAGGGUAUAGACCCGAAACCCGGUGAUCUAGCCAUGGGCAGGUUGAAGGUUGGGUAACACUAACUGGAGGACCGAACCGACUAAUGUUGAAAAAUUAGCGGAUGACUUGUGGCUGGGGGUGAAAGGCCAAUCAAACCGGGAGAUAGCUGGUUCUCCCCGAAAGCUAUUUAGGUAGCGCCUCGUGAAUUCAUCUCCGGGGGUAGAGCACUGUUUCGGCAAGGGGGUCAUCCCGACUUACCAACCCGAUGCAAACUGCGAAUACCGGAGAAUGUUAUCACGGGAGACACACGGCGGGUGCUAACGUCCGUCGUGAAGAGGGAAACAACCCAGACCGCCAGCUAAGGUCCCAAAGUCAUGGUUAAGUGGGAAACGAUGUGGGAAGGCCCAGACAGCCAGGAUGUUGGCUUAGAAGCAGCCAUCAUUUAAAGAAAGCGUAAUAGCUCACUGGUCGAGUCGGCCUGCGCGGAAGAUGUAACGGGGCUAAACCAUGCACCGAAGCUGCGGCAGCGACGCUGAUGCGUUGUUGGGUAGGGGAGCGUUCUGUAAGCCUGUGAAGGUGUGCUGUGAGGCAUGCUGGAGGUAUCAGAAGUGCGAAUGCUGACAUAAGUAACGAUAAAGCGGGUGAAAAGCCCGCUCGCCGGAAGACCAAGGGUUCCUGUCCAACGUUAAUCGGGGCAGGGUGAGUCGACCCCUAAGGCGAGGCCGAAAGGCGUAGUCGAUGGGAAACAGGUUAAUAUUCCUGUACUUGGUGUUACUGCGAAGGGGGGACGGAGAAGGCUAUGUUGGCCGGGCGACGGUUGUCCCGGUUUAAGCGUGUAGGCUGGUUUUCCAGGCAAAUCCGGAAAAUCAAGGCUGAGGCGUGAUGACGAGGCACUACGGUGCUGAAGCAACAAAUGCCCUGCUUCCAGGAAAAGCCUCUAAGCAUCAGGUAACAUCAAAUCGUACCCCAAACCGACACAGGUGGUCAGGUAGAGAAUACCAAGGCGCUUGAGAGAACUCGGGUGAAGGAACUAGGCAAAAUGGUGCCGUAACUUCGGGAGAAGGCACGCUGAUAUGUAGGUGAAGCGACUUGCUCGUGGAGCUGAAAUCAGUCGAAGAUACCAGCUGGCUGCAACUGUUUAUUAAAAACACAGCACUGUGCAAACACGAAAGUGGACGUAUACGGUGUGACGCCUGCCCGGUGCCGGAAGGUUAAUUGAUGGGGUCAGCGCAAGCGAAGCUCUUGAUCGAAGCCCCGGUAAACGGCGGCCGUAACUAUAACGGUCCUAAGGUAGCGAAAUUCCUUGUCGGGUAAGUUCCGACCUGCACGAAUGGCGUAAUGAUGGCCAGGCUGUCUCCACCCGAGACUCAGUGAAAUUGAACUCGCUGUGAAGAUGCAGUGUACCCGCGGCAAGACGGAAAGACCCCGUGAACCUUUACUAUAGCUUGACACUGAACAUUGAGCCUUGAUGUGUAGGAUAGGUGGGAGGCUUUGAAGUGUGGACGCCAGUCUGCAUGGAGCCGGCCUUGAAAUACCACCCUUUAAUGUUUGAUGUUCUAACGUUGACCCGUGAUCCGGGUUGCGGACAGUGUCUGGUGGGUAGUUUGACUGGGGCGGUCUCCUCCUAAAGAGUAACGGAGGAGCACGAAGGUUGGCUAAUCCUGGUCGGACAUCAGGAGGUUAGUGCAAUGGCAUAAGCCAGCUUGACUGCGAGCGUGACGGCGCGAGCAGGUGCGAAAGCAGGUCAUAGUGAUCCGGUGGUUCUGAAUGGAAGGGCCAUCGCUCAACGGAUAAAAGGUACUCCGGGGAUAACAGGCUGAUACCGCCCAAGAGUUCAUAUCGACGGCGGUGUUUGGCACCUCGAUGUCGGCUCAUCACAUCCUGGGGCUGAAGUAGGUCCCAAGGGUAUGGCUGUUCGCCAUUUAAAGUGGUACGCGAGCUGGGUUUAGAACGUCGUGAGACAGUUCGGUCCCUAUCUGCCGUGGGCGCUGGAGAACUGAGGGGGGCUGCUC